GAUAAACGCUGUCGGCGUACAUAACACAUGCAAGUCGAACGAUGAACCUUAUUAGAUUUCUUCGGAAUGAAAAUAAGUGGAUUAGUGGCGAACGGGUGAGUAACACGUGAGUAACCUGCCUUACACAAGGGGAUAGCCUUUGGAAACGAAGAAUAAUACCCUAUAAAGUUGGUCAAUCGCAUGGUAGACUAACCAAAGAUUUAUCGGUGUAAGAUGGACUUGCGUCUGAUUAGCUAGUUGGUGAGAUAAAAGCCCACCAAGGCGACGAUCAGUAGCCGGCUUGAGAGAGUGUACGGCCACAUUGGGACUGAGACACGGCCCAAACUCCUACGGGAGGCAGCAGUGGGGAAUUUUGCACAAUGGGGGAAACCCUGAUGCAGCGACGCCGCGUGAUUAGAAGGCCUUCGGGUUGUAAAAAUCUUUUUUAUGGGAUGAAAAUGACAGUACCAUAAGAAUAAGGUCCGGCUAAAUACGUGCCAGCAGCCGCGGUAAUACGUAUGGACCGAGCGUUGUCCGGAAUCAUUGGGCGUAAAGGGUACGUAGGCGGCCUAGUAAGUUAGAAGUGAAAUAAUAUAGCUCAACUAUAUAAAGCUUUUAAAACUGUUAGGCUUGAGAGAUGAAAGGGAAAGUGGAAUUCCUAGUGUAGCGGUGAAAUGCGCAGAUAUAGGAAAGAAUACCGGUGGCGGAAGGCGACUUUCUGGUCAUCAUCUGACGCUGAGGUACGAAAGCGUGGGUAGCAAACAGGAUUAGAUACCCUGGUAGUCCACGCUGUAAACGAUGAGUGUUAGGUUCUUGGAAUAAUCUGGGAGCCGCAGCUAACGCAUUAAACACUCCGCCUGGGGAGUACGCACGCAAGUGUGAAACUCAAAGGAAUUGACGGGGACCCGCACAAGCAGCGGAGCAUGUGGUUUAAUUCGACGCAGCGCGAAGAACCUUACCAAGUCUUGACAUAAUACGGAGGGAGUUAGGGAUAAUUCCUUAUCACUUCGGUGAGCUGUAUUACAGGUGGUGCAUGGUUGUCGUCAGCUCGUGUCGUGAGAUGUUGGGUUAAGUCCCAUAACGAGCGCAACCCCUAUCGUUAGUUACCAUCAUUAAGUUGGGGACUCUAGCGAUACUGCCGGUGAUAAACCGGAGGAAGGUGGGGACGACGUCAAAUCAUCAUGCCCUUUAUGACUUGGGCUACACACGUGCUACAAUGGCAGAUACAGAGGGCAGCGAAAGAGCGAUCUGAAGCGAAACUCACAAAGUCUGUCCCAGUUCGGAUUGUACUCUGCAACUCGAGUACAUGAAGUUGGAGUUGCUAGUAAUCGCGAAUCAGAAUGUCGCGGUGAAUGCGUUCCCGGGUCU
rnacentral:rRNA from 1 species